rnacentral:rRNA from 1 species
CCUACGGGUGACAGCAGUGAGGAAUAUUGGUCAAUGGACGAGAGUCUGAACCAGCCAAGUAGCGUGAAGGAUGACUGCCCUAUGGGUUGUAAACUUCUUUUAUAUGGGAAUAAAACGUUCCACGUGUGGGAUUUUGUAUGUACCAUAUGAAUAAGGAUCGGCUAACUCCGUGCCAGCAGCCGCGGUAAUACGGAGGAUCCGAGCGUUAUCCGGAUUUAUUGGGUUUAAAGGGAGCGUAGGUGGAUUGUUAAGUCAGUUGUGAAAGUUUGCGGCUCAACCGUAAAAUUGCAGUUGAAACUGGCAGUCUUGAGUACAGUAGAGGUGGGCGGAAUUCGUGGUGUAGCGGUGAAAUGCUUAGAUAUCACGAAGAACUCCGAUUGCGAAGGCAGUUCACUGGACUGCAACUGACACUGAGGCUCGAAAGUGUGGGUAUCAAACAGGAUUAGAUUCCCUUGUAGUC